UGCCCAAGAGAUCGGGAUAACACCUGGAAACAGAUGCUAAUACCGGAUAACAACAGAUGAUGCCUAUCAACUGUUUAAAAGAUGGUUCUGCUAUCACUCUUGGAUGGACCUGCGGUGCAUUAGCUAGUUGGUAGGGUAACGGCCUACCAAGGCGAUGAUGCAUAGCCGAGUUGAGAGACUGAUCGGCCACAUUGGGACUGAGACGCGGCCCAAACUCCUACGGGAGGCAGCAGCG
rnacentral:rRNA from 1 species